rnacentral:rRNA from 1 species
GAAGAAUACCAGUGGCGAAGGCGACUUUCUGGACUGUAACUGACACUGAGGCUCGAAAGCGUGGGAGCAAACAGGAUUAGAUACCCUGGUAGUCCACGCCGUAACGAUGAAUACUAGGUGUGGGGGUUGUCAUGACCUCCGUGCCGCCGCUAACGCUAAUAUUCCGCCUGGGGGUACGGUCGCAAGAUUAAAACUCAAAAGGAAUUGACGGGGGGCCCGCACAAGCAGACGGAGCAUGUGGUUUAUUCGAAGCAACGCGAAGAACCUUACCUAGACUUGACAUCUCCUGAAUUUACUCCUGAAUAGAGGAAGCCCUUCGGGGCAGGAAGACAGGUGGUGCAUGGUUUCGUCAGCUCGUGUCGUGAGAUGUUGGGUUAAGUCCCGCAACGAGCGCAACCCUUAUUGUUAGUUGCUACCAUUAAGUUGAGCACUCUAGCGAGACUGCCCGGGUUAACCGGGAGGAAGGUGGGGAUGACGUCAAAUCAUCAUGCCCCUUAUGUCUAGGGCUACACACGUGCUACAAUGGCUGGUACAGAGAGAUGCUAAACCGCGAGGUGGAGCCAAACUUUAAAACCAGUCUCAGUUCGGAUUGUAGGCUGAAACUCGCCUACAUGAAGCUGGAGUUGCUAGUAAAUCGCGAAUCAGAAUGUCCGCGGUGAAUACGUUCCCGGGCCUUGUACACACCGCCCGUCACACCAUGAGAGUUGGCAAUACCCAAAGUUCGUGAGCUAACGCGUAAGCGAGGCAGCGACCUAAGGUAGGGUCAGCGAUUUGGGGUGAAGUCGUAAACAAGGUAGCCGUAGGAGAACCUGCGGCUGGAUCACCUCCUUU